rnacentral:rRNA from 1 species
AGCGAACGCUGGCGGCAGGCUUAACACAUGCAAGUCGAGCGGGCACUUUCGGGUGUCAGCGGCGGACGGGUGAGUAACGCGUGGGAACGUGCCCUCUGGUUCGGAAUAACUCAGGGAAACUUGAGCUAAUACCGGAUACGCCCUUUUGGGGAAAGGCUUGCUGCCGGAGGAUCGGCCCGCGUCUGAUUAGCUAGUUGGUGAGGUAACGGCUCACCAAGGCGACGAUCAGUAGCUGGUCUGAGAGGAUGAUCAGCCACACUGGGACUGAGACACGGCCCAGACUCCUACGGGAGGCAGCAGUGGGGAAUAUUGGACAAUGGGCGCAAGCCUGAUCCAGCCAUGCCGCGUGAGUGAUGAAGGCCUUAGGGUUGUAAAGCUCUUUUAUCCGGGACGAUAAUGACGGUACCAGAGGAAUAAGCCCCGGCUAACUUCGUG